ACACGUGGGUAACCUGCCUGUAAGACUGGGAUAACUCCGGGAAACCGGGGCUAAUACCGGAUGCUUGUUUGAACCGCAUGGUUCAAACAUAAAAGGUGGCUUCGGCUACCACUUACAGAUGGACCCGCGGCGCAUUAGCUAGUUGGUGAGGUAAUGGCUCACCAAGGCAACGAUGCGUAGCCGACCUGAGAGGGUGAUCGGCCACACUGGGACUGAGACACGGCCCAGACUCCUACGGGAGGCAGCAGUAGGGAAUCUUCCGCAAUGGACGAAAGUCUGACGGAGCAACGCCGCGUGAGUGAUGAAGGUUUUCGGAUCGUAAAGCUCUGUUGUUAGGGAAGAACAAGUACCGUUCGAAUAGGGCGGUACCUUGACGGUACCUAACCAGAAAGCCACGGCUAACUACGUGCCAGCAGCCGCGGUAAUACGUAGGUGGCAAGCGUUGUCCGGAAUUAUUGGGCGUAAAGGGCUCGCAGGCGGUUCCUUAAGUCUGAUGUGAAAGCCCCCGGCUCAACCGGGGAGGGUCAUUGGAAACUGGGGAACUUGAGUGCAGAAGAGGAGAGUGGAAUUCCACGUGUAGCGGUGAAAUGCGUAGAGAUGUGGAGGAACACCAGUGGCGAAGGCGACUCUCUGGUCUGUAACUGACGCUGAGGAGCGAAAGCGUGGGGAGCGAACAGGAUUAGAUACCCUGGUAGUCCACGCCGUAAACGAUGAGUGCUAAGUGUUAGGGGGUUUCCGCCCCUUAGUGCUGCAGCUAACGCAUUAAGCAC
rnacentral:rRNA from 1 species